GACAGAAUUUACAGCCGAACGAUCACAAAUAUUUCGUAAGCGAUGACGGUUGUCGAGAGUGAGCGGCCAAACAGUGAUAACGCGGUAACUGCGGUCGAGCACUGUCGCGGCAUAGUGCGACAGUACAACAACGCUGUCGAACGGCCUACGCGCCAAUAGUUGCGCGACGGACACUGUCGGGUGUCACUGUCACCGCUUGCGUGGGCGCCCGGACAGACGGGGAUCCACCCUCCCCCCAACCGCCCUUGGUCUCCAAAAUGUCAAAUAUAAUUUUAUUUUAAGUAUUUUUCGGCGUUUCCGUUUUAUUACGCCCCUCUCUGAUACACUUCCCGCGAGCGCCCGUUGCCGCGUGUGCAAACGCGCUCCUAUCAUAAUCUCUUACGGAUAUUUAGCGCCCGUAAAACUGUACAUUCUGUUUGCUCGUUGGACUUGGCCAAUCGUUAUUUACGCACGUACUAUAAGUACGACAUUACGAUUUUCGCGACGUGGUGACUCUAUGCGAGCCCCGGCGCAACGCCGAACGGACCAUAAAUACGGAUAAGAACGGAUAAUUUAUUUACUUUCGCGAGAGUAGGAAUCCGAUAUUUGUGUAACGAUUAAUAACAACGGACGUCAAUAGAUACUACACG